rnacentral:rRNA from 1 species
AUGUUGCAUCAGCAGAAGAGAUCAGCUGUUCUAUUAAGGAUUGACAUCUCUAAAGCUUUUGACACCCUAUCCUGGGAUUUUCUCUUGGAGGUGCUAAGGUGUAGGGGCUUCGGACCCAAGUGGUGCUCAUGGAUCUGUGGGCUGCUGAGCACGGCCUCCUCUUCUGUGCUUAUCAACGGG